rnacentral:rRNA from 1 species
UUUUAUGGAGAGUUUGAUCCUGGCUCAGGACGAACGCUGGCGGCGUGCUUAACACAUGCAAGUCGAACGAUGAAGUUCCUUCGGGAAUGGAUUAGUG